rnacentral:rRNA from 1 species
GAUGAACGCUGGCGGCGUGCCUAAUACAUGCAAGUCGAGCGAACAGACGAGGAGCUUGCUCCUCUGACGUUAGCGGCGGACGGGUGAGUAACACGUGGAUAACCUACCUAUAAGACUGGGAUAACUUCGGGAAACCGGAGCUAAUACCGGAUAAUAUAUUGAACCGCAUGGUUCAAUAGUGAAAGACGGUUUUGCUGUCACUUAUAGAUGGAACCGCGCCGCAUUAGCUAGUUGGUAAGGUAACGGCUUACCAAGGCGACGAUGCGUAGCCGACCUGAGAGGGUGAUCGGCCACACUGGAACUGAGACACGGUCCAGACUCCUACGGGAGGCAGCAGUAGGGAAUCUUCCGCAAUGGGCGAAAGCCUGACGGAGCAACGCCGCGUGAGUGAUGAAGGUCUUCGGAUCGUAAAACUCUGUUAUUAGGGAAGAACAAAUGUGUAAGUAACUAUGCACGUCUUGACGGUACCUAAUCAGAAGGCCACGGCUAACUACGUG